GAUGAACGCUGGCGGCGUGCUUAACACAUGCAAGUCGAACGAAGCAUUUGCGACAGAUUUCUUCGGAUUGAAGUUGCUUAUGGCUGAGUGGCGGACGGGUGAGUAACGCGUGGGUAACCUGCCUCACACAGGGGGAUAGCAGUUGGAAACGGCUGAUAAUACCGCAUAAGCGCACAGUACCGCAUGGUACAGUGUGAAAAACUCCGGUGGUGUGAGAUGGACCCGCGUCUGAUUAGCUAGUUGGUGAGGUAACGGCUCACCAAGGCGACGAUCAGUAGCCGACCUGAGAGGGUGACCGGCCACAUUGGGACUGAGACACGGCCCAGACUCCUACGGGAGGCAGCAGUGGGGAAUAUUGCACAAUGGGGGAAACUCUGAUGCAGCGACGCCGCGUGAGUGAAGAAGUAAUUCGUUAUGUAAAGCUCUAUCAGCAGGGAAGAUAGUGACGGUACCUGACUAAGAAGCUCCGGCUAAAUACGUGCCAGCCGCCGCAGUAA
rnacentral:rRNA from 1 species